GCUGCGGCAGCGACGCGUAUGCGUUGUUGGGUAGGAGAGCGUUCUGUAAGCCUGCGAAGGUGUGCUGUGAGGCAUGCUGGAGGUAUCAGAAGUGCGAAUGCUGACAUAAGUAACGAUAAAGCGGGUGAAAAGCCCGCUCGCCGGAAGACCAAGGGUUCCUGUCCAACGUUAAUCGGGGCAGGGUGAGUCGACCCCUAAGGCGAGGCCGAAAGGCGUAGUCGAUGGGAAAAAGGUUAAUAUUUCUGUAAUUGGUGUUACUGAGAAGGGGGGACGGAGAAGGCUAUGUUGGCGGGGCGACGGUUGUGUGGGUUUAAGGGUGUAGGCUGGUUUUUCAGGCAAAUGUGGAAAAUGAAGGCUGAGGCGUGAUGACGAGGCACUACGGUGAUGAAGCAACAAAUGCCGUGGUUCCAGGAAAAGCCGCUAAGCAUCAGGUAACAACAAAUCGUACCGCAAACCGACACAGGUGGUCAGGUAGAGAAUACCACGGCGCUUGAGAGAACUCGGGUGAAGGAUCUAGGCAAAAU
rnacentral:rRNA from 1 species